UUUGUGCGCCUGUCUCUGCAGUUAUGAAUGAGGAGGUCCCGCCUGCCCUGUGACUAUAAGUUUAACGGCCGCGGUAUUUUGACCGCGCGAAGGUAGCGCAAUCACUUGUCUCUUAAAUGGAGACCUGUAUGAAUGGCACAACGAGGGCUUAGCUGUCUCCUCCCCUAAGUUAAUGAAAUUGAUCUCCCCGUGCAGAAGCGGGGAUAAACACAUAAGACGAGAAGACCCUAUGAAGCUUUAGACGUAAGGUAGCCCAAAAUACAAUGCCCCCCUAACAAGGGGAUAAACCAAAAGGCCCCCUACCCCGAUGUCUUUGGUUGGGGCGACCGCGGGGAAAGAAAAAACCCCCACGUGGAACGGGAGUACAACUCCUUAAACUAAGAGCCCCAGCUCUAAGAAACAAAAUUUUUGACCUACAGAUCCGGCAGUGCCGAUCAACGGACCGAGUUACUCUAGGGAUAACAGCGCAAUCCCCUUUUAGAGACCAUAUCAACGAGGGGGUUUACGACCUCGAUGUUGGAUCAGGACAUCCUAUUGGUGCAGCAGCUAUUAAGGGUUCGAUUGUUCGACGAUUAAAGUCCU
rnacentral:rRNA from 1 species